UAGCAUCAGGUUUCCUGGGUCAAGC
rnacentral:piRNA from 1 species